rnacentral:misc_RNA from 1 species
UUAGGCAGUAAAAAUAUAAUUUAGUACUUUUUGUGACUUGAAAUAAGUUGAUAGGAUUAUUUUGUUCAAGGUUUUAAAAACUUGCUUAUUCUGUGCAAAUUUUGCAUUAGGCAAAAUGAUUUAGUGAGUUUAUUUUCUACGCGCACCUGUAGUAAAAAUCACCCUGUGUCUGUGAGAGUGAAACCGCAAACGGAGAAAAGUGAAAAUCCACGAGAUUGGAAAUUAUUGAAAAUCUGCGGAAAGUGAAAUUAUUUGAAGGAAGCUGAUUGUACUUAGUUGUUGAACAAUGUGGAGUCCAACACACGUUCAAGUUCUAGUGAAGAGAGCCAAGGGGUUGAAGGUGAAAGGAAAGGAAGGAACAAACGAUGCCUUUGUGACUAUUGGACUGGGGAAAGAGAAAUUUAGAACCUCGACUAAGGAGAAGAGUGGAGAUCCUGUAGAAUGGAUGGAACAGUGUGAAUUGUUAAUACCAACCCAGGGAAACACAGCUGAAGUAAAUUUAACAGUUCUACACAGAAACCUGAUCGGAGUAGACGAAUUCCUGGGACAAGUUAGCCUGCCAUUAAAAGAUUUCGAUAUUUACGAGCGACCAAAAACCAGAUGGCACUCACUCAAAUGCAAGGCCGGCCAAACCAAGAAAGAUUACAGAGGAGAAUUAGAGGUAAGAAUUGGGUUUACUGUAAAAGCCUCCGAGAGCGUUGGAGGGAGUACAGCUGACUUAACUAAGAAGACUAAAGGAUCCCUUUCAUCACUUAACAAGGUUGCUGGGAACAUAGGAGGCUCACUGCUCUCCUUAGGGAACAAGGAAUCCAGGAAUAUUAAGAAACUUAUGAAAUCAGCGUCACAUAAGGUUGAAAAGGUUGGAGAGAAAGCUAAAAAGUCUGUGAGUACUUUAAAAUUGAGUAAAGAUCGUGGAACUCUAGACUCUGUUCCAGAAACUCGUCAGUGGAGUACACUUGAUAGAAGACUUGAUGAGAACCAAGAUCCUGGAGUAAACUCUGAUGAGGAGGGAGAUGAUAUGUUUAAGUUUGAUACAUUAUCCCAGAAGAGUACAGCAAGCAGUUUAUCUAUGAAUCGUCUUGGACGAGUCAGCAAUACAUCAACACCUUUCAGCGGAUCUUUGGAAGCUUUCAAUGUGGAUACUCCUCCUGCCUUUAGACAAAACAACAGGAAUUCGUUGGUCACAAAACCUAAAGAAAAAGACGAAUGGGAAUCAAAACUUUUUGGAAAGAAAGCUAUUGCUAAAACUGAUGCCAACGGUCCUAUUAAAAUACCGUCUAAGCAAUAUACUAUCAAAGAAGAGAUCUACUCGGAGCCCAAUGCAACAAUAGCUGAUCCAUCCUUUAACAAGAAAUUAGCCAAAUCCAAGUUGACGCUAGACCUGACCCCAAACACUGAAAUUUGGAAAUUAAAAUCAGAAAUGAAGGCAAGUCAGAAACUUGAAGCAUUGGAAACCUUCGAAGAUGGUGACAUUGUCUGUGACAGAAAAGAAAUGAAACUUUCACUUCUGCAGGAAAAGAAGAAUUCAUUUGUGAUAUCAGGAUCCACAAUACCCUUUGGCGAAGGUUCUGAAAAUGAACUCGAUACAGCCACAGAUAAGAAAAGUGAUUUUACGCUAGAUAAAGAAGGAAAAGAAGGAUCAGACAAGAGAAAUUGUCAAGAUGAAUCCAUAUUAUUGAAAACAGAUUUACAUACUUUGGCUUUAAAUAAGCUGAGUAAGAAAAGCAUGCCAGAGAUAAGAUUGGAUAAAGAGGAGGAUACAGUAUUGAGGUCGCCAUUCAAGUGGAGUAAAAAGAGCAUGCCGGAGAUCAGAUUAGACAGAGAGGAGGAUACCACCAUGCAGUCACAAUUUAGCAAAAAGAGCAUGCCAAACAUAGGUGGAUUCGGUUCAAAGAACUUCCAUGAAGAUUCCAUCUUUAAGAGAUCAGUUAAUCCAGAUCAACCCAAGCAAUCAACUAUAGAACAUUCAAAGGACAUGCCUGAAACAAGAACAGAGGGUCAAGAUGGAGAAAACACUGCUGCAGAGUAUAUGCACAGCCCUUCCAGCAUUUCCCCUCAAACUCCGAAAAGAAAGACGUCUAGACUGUUCAAGCUUAGUUUAUCCAAAAGCAAUCUAGAUCUUAAAGGAGCAAGUCUGGAAAAUGCAGAAAACUACCAUAAGAGUUUACCAAAACUGAGCAGCAAGGAUAAGGCUGUGAGAGGGAAAAUAUCAAAUGAUCUGACCUGGACUCGCCAGCAAUCAGCUGAAAUGUUUGAAGAAAGGCAGAAAAAAAUGUCCUCAGGGGAAUCUGUUAUGGAAGUUAAGUCACUUGGAAACUUAGUAAGUUCUGGAAGAGAAGAUGAUAGUUUUCUGAAACAUAUCAUGAAUAGAAAUCUGAAAGAAAAUCAUGAUUUUGCCAAACAUCAACUGGAGAUUGCUGAAAAGAAAGAAACUAUGAAGCUAACUAAACAAUCUGCAGUUGAGAUGAACAGUCCUAAGUUGGAGUUCAAAUCAUCUGAGAGUUUCUCAAAUUCUGAAUCUCCAACUGAAGAUAUGAAGCCAUUUCCAUCAGAGGUUCACACCUUGCCAUUCAUGAAGAAAAGGGAUGGAAGAAGAGUACGAAAGUUUGGAUUGUAUCCACAAGAUUCCCAGAUGGAUACUUUGUCCAUAGUCAGUCAGCAGUCAGGACGGAGUAGAGAGGGAGCUACAUCUGCUGCCAGUCAAGGAAACCCAUCACUUAACAGUCAAACUACAUUAGAGGAUACUUGGAAACCACAGGGUAGCCUCCCAUCCUAUUCCCAGGCUACAUUUAAAGUUCCACAUGAGAAGAAAAAGAUAAUUCCUGUUCAAGAUGAACUAGAAUCAUCUCCUAGUCCUGAAUCCCCCUCAAGUCCUGUAGCUGACAACAAGGCGGAGAAUGGUUGGGGUUUCAGAAAUAGCAGAUCCGGAGUGUCUGUGAGUACACUGGAUAUAGCUUCUGUUGCCAAGGAACAGGAGAACAAGAAGAAAACACUGGGGCUCAAACUUAAGAACAGUUACAGCUUCAAAGAGAAAUCAGACGAGGGUAAGACAGGAAAUGGUGGAAGAAGAAAUUCAAUCGAAUCCAACUCCUCCAGGCACUCUCGGACCCAUUCUGAUGGAUCUUUUGGACCUCCUAAUGGAACCCGUGUAGUGCUGGGUAGAGAAACCUCUCCUAUUCCCAACAUGAACUCCAAACUUUCAUCUGAUAUGCUUGCCAAGUACAGUGGCAAAUCAAACCAGGAACUGGUUGAGCUGGUUGUAAGUAUGGAGCGAAGGUUGGAAGAGCAGAGUAAGAAGGUUGGUGACCUAGAGGACUAUAUAGAUGGUCUUCUAAUCAGAGUAAUGGAGGUUGCCCCAGUACUUCUUCAGAAGGACUUGAACGCCAGCAAAUCAACCAUGAGAGGUGCUGGAUUACGGCUCUUUGCUGCUGAUUUUAACCGGUUACGGCUUGGUUAAAGUUCAAAGUGCACACUGGACAAGGUCAGAGAUGGGAUUCCAGACCUUUUAAUGUACUUUAUGUACACAAUCAUUUACCGUACAGUGUACACUGUACAGAUCUGUACGCUGCAUGUCAAUACAUUUACCACGACUUCCUGCCUUACCAACCACCCAGGACACGGGGAGAGGAGCGUGUGAAUAUCAUCCUUAAGACAUAUUGGUCCAUAAGCAAUCGAUCAAUCGAUUAGUCCUCGAACCUUUCCUCUACUCGAUCAAUCAAUCCGUUCUGAAGUUUUUCCUUAAUUAAUCUAUGAAUCAAUCAGUCCUCAAACAAAUCCACCUGUCAUAAAUUUUGAUAUCCCAAUCGAUCAAUCAAUCUGUCCUCAAUUAUUUACCCAUCUAGUUACCCUGUUAUUACGGAUACAAAUAGAUUGUUUAUUGCGUUUUAUUAAUAUGACAGAAAAGAAUACCAUUCUUUAGAUUUGUUGAAAUUUACGUUUAAUCAUAUUUUCCAUAUGCAUUUCUGCUCAUUUUUUUAAAUGACUCGAGGGAUGUUAAAAACAAAAUUUUGAUUUUAAAAAAAAUCAAGUUGGAUCCCUUCUAAAUGUUUAUAUAUGUAUGUUUUUCAAGCAAUAAGUUAAAAAAGACUUACUUAGUUCCCAGGUCUUUUUGAACAAAAGAUACUUAACCGUGCCAAAAGUAUUAUUGUGUUAUGUUUACUAAUAAUAAUUUUCGACCAAAUUCAAGAGAUUUCUUUGUUCUUCGUUCUUGACUUUUUGUUAAUUUCGCCAUUAUAUGUAUUUUUGGAAAAGAAAUAAAUAUACAAUACUAGAA